UGGGGAAUUUUGGACAAUGGGCGCAAGCCUGAUCCAGCAAUGCCGCGUGCAGGAUGAAGGCCUUCGGGUUGUAAACUGCUUUUGUACGGAGCGAAAAGGUCUGCCCUAAUACGGUGGGCUCAUGACGGUACCUGAAGAAUAAGCACCGGCUAACUACGUGCCAGCAGCCGCGGUAAUACGUAGGGUGCAAGCGUUAAUCGGAAUUACUGGGCGUAAAGCGUGCGCAGGCGGUUAUGCAAGACAGAGGCGAAAUCCCCGGGCUUAACCUGGGAAUUGCAUUUGUGACUGCAUCGCUGGAGUGCGGCAGAGGGGGAUGGAAUUCCGCGUGUAGCAGUGAAAUGCGUAGAUAUGCGGAGGAACACCGAUGGCGAAGGCAAUCCCCUGGACCUGUACUGACGCUCAUGCACGAAAGCGUGGGGAGCAAACA
rnacentral:rRNA from 1 species